rnacentral:rRNA from 1 species
UACGUAGGGGGCUAGCGUUGUCCGGAAUCAUUGGGCGUAAAGAGCGUGUAGGCGGUCCGGUAAGUCCGCUGUGAAAGUCGGGGGCUCAACCCUCGAAUGCCGGUGGAUACUGUCGGGCUAGAGUGCGGAAGAGGCGAGUGGAAUUCCUGGUGUAGCGGUGAAAUGCGCAGAUAUCAGGAGGAACACCUAUUGCGAAGGCAGCUCGCUGGGACGUAACUGACGCUGAGACGCGAAAGCGUGGGGAGCGAACAGG